rnacentral:lncRNA from 1 species
UGUGCCAGUUUAUCCAUAUCGAUCACCAUCCCCAUGAUGAUUCUAUGAUUGAGAGCAUUUAGGAAUUAUAUACAUGUCUCUAAUUCUCAAUAUCUUGAGAAUAUAUAUCGAAGCUAAUUUCAUGAACGACUUAAGAACAUAUCACACUUGAAUGGAAAAGAAAUUACCCUUUUAUAGAUCAUAUCAAUAUAUUAAGUAUAAAAUUGUAUCCUAGAAUUAUUACAAUGUGUCAGCGAUAUUGAUUUCUAAGACAUACAUCUAACAGCUUCAAAGCCUCUUUUAGUAGUUUUUUUUAGUUGUCCAUUUUAAGAUAGAUGGCAUUAAUUUAUUUACCAGU